AGACGAUGACCUUAAUAAUCUGCCAAGAAGUUAACGAACAAAUGACAAAGUGUGGAUGCUUCUUGUCGAGAGAGUUUGACAGCUCAUAAGAAACGUUGCUGACGACAGCGAGAGAGUAAAAGAGAAAGAGAAAGAGAAAGAGGAAGAGAGAGAAA
rnacentral:lncRNA from 1 species